rnacentral:rRNA from 1 species
UACGGAGGAUGCAAGCGUUAUCCGGAAUGAUUGGGCGUAAAGCGUCCGCAGGUGGCUAUGUAAGUCUGCUGUUAAAGAGUGAGGCUCAACCUCAUAAAAGCAGUGGAAACUACAUGGCUAGAGUGCGUUCGGGGCAGAGGGAAUUCCUGGUGUAGCGGUGAAAUGCGUAGAUAUCAAGAGGAACACCUGAGGUGAAGACGGGUUGCUGGGCCAACACUGACGCUGAUGCGCGAAAGCCAGGGGAGCAAACGGG